GCGCUGGCUUUGGCAGCACAUAAGCUAAAAUUAGAACAAUACAGGGAAGAUUAGCAUGGCCCCUGCUAACACGCAGGGAUAGCAUGCAAAUUAAUAAAGUGUUCCAUGUUUUU
rnacentral:snRNA from 1 species